GUGUCAGCAGCCGCGGUAAGACGAAGGAUGCAAGCGUUAUCCGGAUUCAUUGGGUUUAAAGGGAGCGUAGGUGGCCUUGUAAGUCAGUGGUGAAAUCUCUCGGCUUAACUGAGAAAUUGCCAUUGAUACUGCAGGGCUUGAGUACAGAUGCCGUUGGCGGAAUAUGACAUGUAGUGGUGAAAUACAUAGAGAUGUCAUAGAACACCGAUUGCGAAGGCAGCUGACGAAACUGUAACUGACACUGAGGCUCGAAAGUGUGGGGAUCAAACAGGAUUAGAAACCCUAGUAGUCC
rnacentral:rRNA from 1 species